GAUAGAGGGUGCGAACGUUGCUCGGAAUUACUGGGCGUAAAGCGCGUGUAGGCGGGUGAUCAAGUCAGGUGUGAAAUCCCCAGGCUCAACCUGGGAACUGCACUUGAAACUGGUCGCCUUGAGUGUUGGAGAGGGAAGCGGAAUUCCUGGUGUAGAGGUGAAAUUCGUAGAUAUCAGGAGGAACACCGGUGGCGAAGGCGGGUCUCUGGGCCGAUACUGACGCUGAAGCGCGAAAGCUAGGGGAGCGAACGGG
rnacentral:rRNA from 1 species